rnacentral:rRNA from 1 species
UACGUAGGGUGCAAGCGUUUGUCCGGAAUUAUUGGGCGUAAAGAGCUCGUAGGCGGCUUGCCACGUCUGCCGUGAAAACCAGCAGCUUAACUGUUGGCUUGCGGUUGAUACGGGUUGGCUGGAGUUCGGUAGGGGAGACUGGAAUUCCUGGUGUAGCGGUGAAAUUCGUAGAUAUCGGGAGGAACACCAGUGGCGAAGGCGGCGAUCUGGGCAGAGUACUGACGCUGAGGAGCGAAAGCAUGGGAGGCGAACAGG